rnacentral:rRNA from 1 species
ACGAACGCUGGCGGCGUGCUUAACACAUGCAGGUCGAACGGAAAGGCCCCUUUGGGGGUACUCGAGUGGCGAACGGGUGAGUAACACGUGAGUAACCUGCCCUUGACUUCGGGAUAACUUCAGGAAACUGGGGCUAAUACCGGAUAGGAAUCCUUGCUGCAUGGGGGGGGUUGGAAAGCUUCGGCGGUUUUGGAUGGACUCGCGGCUUAUCAGCUUGUUGGUGGGGUAGUGGCUUACCAAGGCUUUGACGGGUAGCCGGCCUGAGAGGGCGACCGGCCACAUUGGGACUGAGAUACGGCCCAGACUCCUACGGGAGGCAGCAGUGGGGAAUAUUGCACAAUGGGCGGAAGCCUGAUGCAGCAACGCCGCGUGCGGGAUGACGGCCUUCGGGUUGUAAACCGCUUUCAGCAGGGGCGAAGCUUGUGGUGACGGUACCUGCAGAAGAAGCACCGGCUAACUACGUG